rnacentral:rRNA from 1 species
CAAGUCGAACGGCAGCGCGGGGCAACCUGGCGGCGAGUGGCGAACGGGUGAGUAAUAUAUCGGAACGUACCCUGGAGUGGGGGAUAACGUAGCGAAAGUUACGCUAAUACCGCAUACGAUCUAAGGAUGAAAGUGGGGGAUUCGCAAGAACCUCAUGCUCCUGGAGCGGCCGAUAUCUGAUUAGCUAGUUGGUGGGGUAAAGGCCUACCAAGGCAUCGAUCAGUAGCUGGUCUGAGAGGACGACCAGCCACACUGGAACUGAGACACGGUCCAGACUCCUACGGGAGGCAGCAGUGGGGAAUUUUGGACAAUGGGCGCAAGCCUGAUCCAGCAAUGCCGCGUGAGUGAAGAAGGCCUUCGGGUUGUAAAGCUCUUUUGUCAGGGAAGAAACGGUGCGGGCUAAUAUCCUGCACUAAUGACGGUACCUGAAGAAUAAGCACCGGCUAACUACGUGCCAGCAGCCGCGGUAAUACGUAGGGUGCAAGCGUUAAUCGGAAUUACUGGGCGUAAAGCGUGCGCAGGCGGUUUUGUAAGUCUGUCGUGAAAUCCCCGGGCUCAACCUGGGAAUUGCGAUGGAGACUGCAAGGCUAGAAUCUGGCAGAGGGGGGUAGAAUUCCACGUGUAGCAGUGAAAUGCGUAGAGAUGUGGAGGAACACCGAUGGCGAAGGCAGCCCCCUGGGUCAAGAUUGACGCUCAUGCACGAAAGCGUGGGGAGCAAACAGGAUUAGAUACCCUGGUAGUCCACGCCCUAAACGAUGUCUACUUGUUGUCGGGUUUUAAUUAACUUGGUAACGCAGCUAACGCGUGAAGUAGACCGCCUGGGGA